ACAAAAAAAGGUUUCAUAAUGAAGUUUGAUUCUGCGGACUUCCAGGAGGUAAACACGGGUAAAUUCGCUCAUCAAGGCCCAGUUAGAGGCACCUAUAUUCGGAUACAAACUUUAAAAAUCAUCCUUGCGCACGCAUGGAUCCAUAAACACUUAGAAAAUAGUUUAAAAAAAAUCCGCGGACUUCCAGGAGGUAAACACGGGUAAAUUCGCUCAUCACGGCCCAGUUAGAGGCACCUAUAUUCGGAUACAAACCUUAAAAAUCAUCCUUGCGCACGCAUGGAUCCAUAAACACUUAGAAAAUAGUUUAAAAAAAAUCCGCGGACUUCCGGGAGGAACAGGGGGGGGGAUCCCGCUGCUGCAGCCGGAACCGAGGCACUAUCCUCGGACUACUGUCUGACAGCGCCCCCGUGUGGGUCAUGGUUGUCAACACAUUUUUUAAUAGAAAAAUACAGCACGCAUGGAUCCAUAAACACUUAGAAAAUAGUUUUAAAAAAAAUCCGCGGACUUCCAGGAGGUAAACACGGGUAAAUUCGCUCAUCACGGCCCAGUUAGAGGCACCUAUAUUCGGAUACAAACCUUAAAAAUCAUCCUUGCGCACGCAUGGAUCCAUAAACACUUAGAAAAUAGUUUUAAAAAAAAUCCGCGGACUUCCAGGAGGUAAACACGGGUAAAUUCGCUCAUCACGGCCCAGUUAGAGGCACCUAUAUUCGGAUACAAACCUUAAAAAUCAUCCUUGCGCACGCAUGGAUCCAUAAACACUUAGAAAAUAGUUUUAAAAAAAAUCCGCGGACUUCCAGGAGGUAAACACGGGUAAAUUCGCUCAUCACGGCCCAGUUAGAGGCACCUAUAUUCGGAUACAAACCUUAAAAAUCAUCCUUGCGCACGCAUGGAUCCAUAAACACUUAGAAAAUAGUUUUAAAAAAAAUCCGCGGACUUCCAGGAGGUAAACACGGGUAAAUUCGCUCAUCACGGCCCAGUUAGAGGCACCUAUAUUCGGAUACAAACCUUAAAAAUCAUCCUUGCGCACGCAUGGAUCCAUAAACACUUAGAAAAUAGUUUUAAAAAAAAUCCGCGGACUUCCAGGAGGUAAACACGGGUAAAUUCGCUCAUCACGGCCCAGUUAGAGGCACCUAUAUUCGGAUACAAACCUUAAAAAUCAUCCUUGCGCACGCAUGGAUCCAUAAACACUUAGAAAAUAGUUUUAAAAAAAAUCCGCGGACUUCCAGGAGGUAAACACGGGUAAAUUCGCUCAUCACGGCCCAGUUAGAGGCACCUAUAUUCGGAUACAAACCUUAAAAAUCAUCCUUGCGCACGCAUGGAUCCAUAAACACUUAGAAAA